rnacentral:ncRNA from 1 species
GAAAAGUUUUAUUUUGGCUUGAAUAUUGAAUUUAUUAUUAUUUUAUAUGUAGUUUUUCUUGAUGAUUAUAUAGCAGUAGAUAUAAUUUUUUAUUGGAUAGAUCUUGAUUGAGUAAUUAAUUUUAGUAUAGACAAAAUUUGUGCCAGCAGUCGCGGUUAUACAAAUUAUGCGGUUCAAUUUUAUUAGGAAGGAAUUAAUAUUAUUUAAGGAAAAUUAAGUUUUUAUAUUGAAGGUGAAAUUUUAUAUGAUAUUAUAAUUUUUAAGAUUGAUGUUUCUAAAUUUAUCACGAAACUAGGAUUAGAUACCCUAUUAUUGUAAGUGUAAAUAUGGUUUCUUGUUAGUAAAAGUUAUUUCUUGAAAAUAAAAGAUUUUGGCGGUGUUUUGUUUAUUUAGAGGAACCUGUUUUGUAAUUGAUAAUCCACGAUUUAAUUUACUUUAUUUAAAUAGCUUGUAUAUCGCCGUUUUUGAAAAUUUUAAUAGGAUUUUAAUUUUCUUGGUUUAUAUUAGAAUUGAGGUCAGGUCAAGGUGCAGUUUAUAGUAAAGUGGAAAUGGGUUACAAUAAAUUUAUUUAUUAUGGAUGUUUCUUUGUAAUAGGAGAUUUAAGGUGGAUUUAAAGGUAAAUUUUUAUAAAUAUUUUUUUUGAUAGAUUUUUCAAGACAUGUACAUAUCGCCCGUCGCUCUCAUUAAUAAUAUGAGAUAAGUCGUAACAAAGUAGAUGUACUGGAAAGUGUAUCUGGAUAGA